rnacentral:rRNA from 1 species
UGGGGAAUAUUGCACAAUGGGCGCAAGCCUGAUGCAGCCAUGCCGCGUGUAUGAAGAAGGCCUUCGGGUUGUAAAGUACUUUCAGCGGGGAGGAAGGUGUUGUGGUUAAUAACCACAGCAAUUGACGUUACCCGCAGAAGAAGCACCGGCUAACUCCGUGCCAGCAGCCGCGGUAAUACGGAGGGUGCACGCGUUAAUCGGAAUUACUGGGCGUAAAGCGCACGCAGGCGGUCUGUCAAGUCGGAUGUGAAAUCCCCGGGCUCAACCUGGGAACUGCAUCCGAAACUGGCAGGCUUGAGUCUUGUAGAGGGGGGUAGAAUUCCAGGUGUAGCGGUGAAAUGCGUAGAGAUCUGGAGGAAUACCGGUGGCGAAGGCGGCCCCCUGGACAAAGACUGACGCUCAGGUGCGAAAGCGUGGGGAGCAAACA